CAGUCGCCGCGGUAAUACGAAGGGGGCUAGCGUUGUUCGGAUUUACUGGGCGUAAAGCGCACGUAGGCGGACUUUUAAGUCAGGGGUGAAAUCCCGGGGCUCAACCCCGGAACUGCCUUUGAUACUGGAAGUCUUGAGUAUGGUAGAGGUGAGUGGAAUUCCGAGUGUAGAGGUGAAAUUCGUAGAUAUUCGGAGGAACACCAGUGGCGAAGGCGGCUCACUGGACCAUUACUGACGCUGAGGUGCGAAAGCGUGGGGAGCAAACAGGAUUAGAUACCCCGUAGUCCCUGUCUCUUAUACC
rnacentral:rRNA from 1 species